rnacentral:rRNA from 1 species
GAUGAACGCUGGCGGCGUGCCUAAUACAUGCAAGUCGAGCGAACAGACGAGGAGCUUGCUCCUCUGACGUUAGCGGCGGACGGGUGAGUAACACGUGGAUAACCUACCUAUAAGACUGGGAUAACUUCGGGAAACCGGAGCUAAUACCGGAUAAUAUAUUGAACCGCAUGGUUCAAUAGUGAAAGACGGUUUUGCUGCCACUUAUAGAUGGAUCCGCGCCGCAUUAGCUAGUUGGUAAGGUAACGGCUUACCAAGGCGACGAUGCGUAGCCGAACUGAGAGGGUGAUCGGCCACACUGGAACUGAGACACGGUCCAGACUCCUACGGGAGGCAGCAGUAGGGAAUCUUCCGCAAUGGGCGAAAGCCUGACGGAGCUAUUCCGCGUGAGUGAUGAAGGUCUUCUGAUCGUAAAACUCUGUUAUUAGGGAAGAACAAAUGUGUAAGUAACUUUGCACGUCUUGACGGUACCUUAUCAGAAAGCCACGGCUAACUACUUG